CGCUUGAACUAAUUCUUUCAAGUAGGAUCUGCCCAAUGAUUAAAUGGCCGCAGUACCCUGACUGUGCUAAGGUAGCAUAAUAAUUUGUUUCAUAAUUGGAGACCAGAAUGAACGAUCUGACGUGGUAAUUAUGUCAUAAAUAGUUUAGAGGGACGACAAGACCCUAAAAGCUUAAUUAAUUUUUACUGGGGCGGUAAAUACUAGAUUUUUAAAAACACUAUAAGUGAAAGUUACUUUAGGGAUAACAGCAUAAUAAACUAAUAGAGCUCUUAUCGACUAGUUUGCUUAUGACCUCGAUGUUGAAUUGAGUAAGUCUGUUCGACUUUUAAAAUUU
rnacentral:rRNA from 1 species